AUUGAACGCUGGCGGCAGGCCUAACACAUGCAAGUCGAGCGGAGCGGCGGACGGGUGAGUAAUGCCUAGGAAUCUGCCUGGUAGUGGGGGAUCACGUCCGGGAACGGGCGCUAAUACCGCAUACUAUCAGAUGAGCCUCGGUCGGAUUAGCUAGGUGGUGGGGUAAAGGCCUACCAAGGCGACGAUCCGUAACUGGUCUGAGAGGCUGAUCAGUCACACUGGAACUGAGACACGGCCCAGACUCCUACGGGAGGCAGCAGUAGGGAAGAUUGGACAAUGGACGAAAGCCUGAUCCAGCCAGGCCGCGUGAGUGAAGAAGGUAUUCGGAUUGUAAAGCACUGUAAGUAGAGAGGCGUUACCAACAGAAUAAGCACCGGCUAACUUCGUGCCAGCAGCCGCGGUAAUUC
rnacentral:rRNA from 1 species